UACCAGCACCCCGAGUGGUCGGGACGUUUAUUGGGCCUAAAGCAUCCGUAGCCGGUUCUACAAGUCUUCCGUUAAAUCCAACUGCUUAACAGGUGGGCUGCGGAAGAUACUAUAGAGCUAGGAGGCGGGAGAGGCAAGCGGUACUCGAUGGGUAGGGGUAAAAUCCGUUGAUCCAUUGAAGACCACCAGUGGCGAAGGCGGCUUGCCAGAACGCGCUCGACGGUGAGGGAUGAAAGCUAGGGGAGCAAACGGG
rnacentral:rRNA from 1 species